rnacentral:rRNA from 1 species
GGGUCUUGGGAUAUUUGGGGUUAAGCGUCCUUGGGUUUGAAUAGUACUGGGCUGGGUGACCUCCUAAGAAGUCCAAAUUCAAGGAGCU